rnacentral:piRNA from 1 species
UCAGAAGGACCACAGCUCAACCUCUGAGAGA